AAAACUAACCGUUAAAUCAAGAUGAGGCUCUUGCUCCCAUUCGCCUCGCCGUUAUCCGCCACGUCACCGCCGUCAUUACCUGAACAUCCACCGCCGUCUAAAAUCGAAUUCUCCGGUCUAACUAAAAUUUUUAAAAAAUCGGCAAUCGGAACACUAACCGGAGCUCUCACGCUCACUCUCGUACUAUCGUCGCCGAUUCCCUCCGUCGCUGCUUCCAUCGAUCCUUACCUAUCUAUGACUCCGCCUUCAUUAUCUCCUGAUUCUUCUCCGGAAGAUUGCCCUAACGAGGAAGGAGCUGAUACUGAGGUGCUAGAAGAUGACGUCAGGCCUCAGUUAGUAACUAACGAAGGGAUUGUUGAAGAGGCGUGGGAGAUUGUUAACGACGCCUUUAUCGAUGCUCGAAGCAAUAGAUGGAGUCCUGAGACUUGGCAGAAACAGAAGGAAGAGAUAUUGAGUAUUCCAAUUAAGAGUAGAUCAAAGGCUCAUGAAGUGAUUAAGAAAAUGCUGGCUAGUUUGGGUGAUCAGUACACUCGCUUUCUCUCACCAGAUGAGUUCUCCAGGAUGUCCAAGUAUGACAUUACCGGUAUUGGAAUAAACCUUAGAGAAGUUUCUGAUGGUGGUGGAAAUGUAAAGCUGAAGGUCCUUGGUCUUGUGUUGGACGGUCCUGCUGACAUUGCUGGCGUGAAACAGGGAGAUGAGAUUCUUGCUGUCAAUGGAGUUGAUGUUAGUGGGAAAUCAUCAUUUGAAGUAUCAUCUUUGUUACAAGGCCCUAGUAAAACUUUUGUGGUCCUCAAGGUGAAGCAUGGAAAAUGUGGACCUCUUAGGUCAAUUAAAGUCCAGAGACAAGUUAAUGCGCAGACUCCAGUCUCUUAUCGUCUGGAGAAAGUUGACAACGGGAGAAUCUCUGUCGGGUAUAUCCGUCUAAAAGAGUUCAAUGCCUUGGCUAGAAAAGAUUUGGUGAUUGCAAUGAAACGACUCCAGGACAAGGGUGCAUCUUAUUUCGUAAUGGAUCUUCGAGAUAACCUUGGUGGACUUGUGCAGGCUGGAAUAGAAACUGCUAAGCUGUUCCUAGAUGAAGGGGAUACGGUGAUAUACACAGCCGGGAGAGAUACGGAGACUCAAAAGAUAGUUGUUGCAGAUAAAAAACCAUUGAUCACUGCCCCUCUUAUUGUAUGUGAUUGAUCAUGUAAUGGUAAAUAACAGAACAGCAAGUGCUAGUGAAAUUGUGGCCUCUGCACUUCAUGAUAACUGUAAAGCAAUUCUUGUGGGCGAAAGAACUUAUGGAAAGGGUUUGAUUCAAUCGGUGUUCGAGCUCCGGGAUGGUUCAGGAGUUGUUGUGACAAUAGGAAAGUAUGUCACACCAAACCAUAUAGACAUCAAUGGUGGUGGAAUUGAACCUGAUUUCAGAAACUUACCAGCUUGGGGGGAAGUAAAAGAACUUUUGUCUAAGUGCAACACUCUCCAACAAAGCUGAAACGUGAUGACAUUCAUCAGACUAUCUCCUGUUGUUUUUUCCCCAAACUACAGACAAAAGCAAACGAUUUGCGUCUUUGGGUAUACACACAAGCCUAUCUAAAUUUUUGGGUGUGUCGAAAAUUUGAAGAAACAUGUGGGGUGCAAUUGAUAUUUUUACAAAAUUGCAAGGGCUGUUUGAUAAUAGUAUUAUUCAUGUGAAAUUACGCUGCCAAACUUUGGACGUUUCAAAAGAAAAGAGAAGAAACUUUUUGGCUGUGGAUUAA